UGAAUACGAGAUGCUACGGCGUCGAAGCAGUCUAUGUCAUACUUCCAAGAAAAGCUUGCACUGUCAUAAACAAAUAAUGCCUGUACCAUAACCGACACAGGUGGGUAGGUAGAGUAUACUAAGGGGCGCGAGAUAACUCUCUCUAAGGAACUCGGCAAAAUGACUCCGUAACUUCGGGAGAAGGAGUGCCUUAUUUAUAAGGUUGCAAUAACAAGAUCCAAGCAACUGUUUACCAAGAACACAGGUCUCCGCUAAGUCGUAAGACGAUGUAUGGGGGCUGACGCCUGCCCAGUGCCAGAAGGUUAAAGAAGUUGGUUAGCAUCCGCGAAGCUGAUAACUGAAGCCCUGGUGAACGGCGGCCGUAACUAUAACGGUCCUAAGGUAGCGAAAUUCCUUGUCGGGUAAGUUCCGACCCGCACGAAAGGCGUAAUGAUUUGGAUACUGUCUCGGAGAGGGGCUCGGUGAAAUAGACUUGUCUGUGAAGAUGCGGACUACCUGCACCAGGACAGAAAGACCCUAUGAAGCUUUACUGUAACCUGAAAUUGAAAUUGGACUUUACUUGCGCAGUAUAGGUGGGAGGCGUUGAGAAUAUUCUUGCGGGAUUAUUGGAGCCAUCAGUGAGAUACCACUCUUGUAAUGUUAGAUUUCUAACUUUGUAUCAUUAUCUGGUCAAAGAACAGUUUCAGGCGGGCAGUUUGACUGGGGCGGUCGCCUCCUAAACGGUAACGGAGGCGCACAAAGGUUUCCUCUGAACGGGUAGAAAUCGUAUCUAGAGUGUAAAGGCAUAAGGAAGCUUGACUGUGAGACCUACAAGUCGAGCAGGGACGAAAGUCGGUCUUAGUGAUCUGACGGUGCUGAGUGGAAAGGCCGUCACUCAACGGAUAAAAGUUACUCUAAGGAUAACAGGCUGAUCUCCCCCAAGAGUUCACAUCGACGGGGAGGUUUGGCACCUCGAUGUCGGCUCAUCGCAUCCUGGGGCGGUAGUACGUCCCAAGGGUUGGGCUGUUCGCCCAUGAAAGCGGUACGCGAGCUGGGUUCAGAACGUCGUGAGACAGUUCGGUCCAUAUCCGGUGUAGGCGUUAGAAUAUUGAGAGGAGCCUUCUUUAGUACGAGAGGACCGAGAAGGACAUACCUCUGGUGUACCAGUUAUCGUGCCAACGGUAAACGCUGGGUAGCUAUGUGUGGAGUGGAUAACCGCUGAAAGCAUCUAAGUGGGAAGCCCACCUCAAGAUAAGUAUUCUCA
rnacentral:rRNA from 1 species